rnacentral:rRNA from 1 species
UACAGAGGUCUCAAGCGUUGUUCGGAUUCAUUGGGCGUAAAGGUGCGUAGGUGGCGUCGUAAGUCAGGUGUGAAAUCUCGGAGCUUAACUCCGAAACUGCAUUUGAUACUGCGGUGCUUGAGGACUCGGAGAGGAGACUGGAAUUUACGGUGUAGCAGUGAAAUGCGUAGAGAUCGUAAGGAAGACCAGUGGCGAAGGCGGGUCCUC